rnacentral:ncRNA from 1 species
CCUAACUUUAAAAUCAAUUUUCUCUUAACUUACACAUGCAAGUCUCCUCGACCCUGUGAGUAUGCCCUCCCCCCCCCCCCUCCCGGAAUGAGGAGUCGGUAUAAGGCGCAAUUACCCGCCCAAAACACCUAGCAACAGCCACACCCACAAGGGAUACAGCAGUGAUCAACAUUAGUCAUAAGCGCCAGCUUGACCUAGUUAAAGAGCUAAGGGCCGGCAAAGUUGGUGCCAGCCGCCGCGGUUACACCAUAGGCCCAAACUGAUUUUCAUCGGCGUAAAGCGUGGUUAAAGCUACUAACUGACUAGAGUUAAAUUCAAACUAAGCAGUAGAAUGCCUGUUUUCAAGAAACUCAUAAACGAAAGUUACUCUAUUUUUGACUUGAACCCACGAUAGCCAAGACACAAACUAGGAUUAGAUACCCUACUAUGCUUGGCCUUAAACCUUAAAUUACUUCCCCCUUCGCCAAGGAACUACGAGCAAUGCUUAAAACCUAAAGGACUUGACGGUACCCCAUAUCCGCCUAGAGGAGCCUGUCCUAUAACCGAUACCCCUCGUUCAACCUCACCAUUUUUAGCCUUUCAGCCUGUAUACCUCCGUCCUAGCUCACCAUGUGAAUGAACUAGUGAGCUAAACCGCCACAGCCAAUACGUCAGGUCGAGGUGCAGUAGAUAAAAUGGGAAGAGAUGGGCUACACUUUCUAUAUUAGAAUACACGAAAAGUCACAUGCAAUCUGACUAGAAGGUGGAUUUAGUAGUAAGAAGAAAACAGAGUGUUCUUUUUAACCUGGCCCUGGGGUGUGUACACACCGCCCGUCACCCUCUUCAAAUAAUAACAACAGUAUUUAACAAAACUUUCCCAAAAGAAGAGGCAAGUCGUAACAUGGUAAGCGCACCGGAAGGUGUGCUUGGAAA